rnacentral:rRNA from 1 species
AGAGUUUGAUCCUGGCUCAGGACGAACGCUGGCGGCGCGCCUAACACAUGCAAGUCGAACGAGAGAUGAAGAGCUUGCUCUUCAAAUCGAGUGGCGAACGGGUGAGUAACGCGUGAGGAACCUGCCUCAAAGAGGGGGACAACAGUUGGAAACGACUGCUAAUACCGCAUAAGCCCACGGCUCGGCAUCGAGCAGAGGGAAAAGGAGCAAUCCGCUUUGAGAUGGCCUCGCGUCCGAUUAGCUAGUUGGUGAGGUAAUGGCCCACCAAGGCGACGAUCGGUAGCCGGACUGAGAGGUUGAACGGCCACAUUGGGACUGAGACACGGCCCAGACUCCUACGGGAGGCAGCAGUGGGGAAUAUUGCACAAUGGGGGAAACCCUGAUGCAGCGACGCCGCGUGGAGGAAGAAGGUCUUCGGAUUGUAAACUCCUGUUGUUGAGGAAGAUAAUGACGGUACUCAACAAGGAAGUGACGGCUAACUACGUGCCAGCAGCCGCGGUAAAACGUAGGUCACAAGCGUUGUCCGGAAUUACUGGGUGUAAAGGGAGCGCAGGCGGGAGAACAAGUUGGAAGUGAAAUCCAUGGGCUCAACCCAUGAACUGCUUUCAAAACUGUUUUUCUUGAGUAGUGCAGAGGUAGGCGGAAUUCCCGGUGUAGCGGUGGAAUGCGUAGAUAUCGGGAGGAACACCAGUGGCGAAGGCGGCCUACUGGGCACCAACUGACGCUGAGGCUCGAAAGUGUGGGUAGCAAACAGGAUUAGAUACCCUGGUAGUCCACACCGUAAACGAUGAUUACUAGGUGUUGGAGGAUUGACCCCUUCAGUGCCGCAGUUAACACAAUAAGUAAUCCACCUGGGGAGUACGACCGCAAGGUUGAAACUCAAAGGAAUUGACGGGGGCCCGCACAAGCAGUGGAGUAUGUGGUUUAAUUCGACGCAACGCGAAGAACCUUACCAAGUCUUGACAU